rnacentral:rRNA from 1 species
CCUACGGGAGGCAGCAGUGAGGAAUAUUGGUCAAUGGUCGGGAGACUGAACCAGCCAAGCCGCGUGAGGGAUGAAGGUACAGAGUAUCGUAAACCUCUUUUGUCAGGGAACAAAGGCGGGGACGUGUCCCCGGAUGAGUGUACCUGAAGAAAAAGCAUCGGCUAACUCCGUGCCAGCAGCCGCGGUAAUACGGAGGAUGCGAGCGUUAUCCGGAUUUAUUGGGUUUAAAGGGUGCGCAGGCGGUCUGUUAAGUCAGCGGUAAAAGCCCGGGGCUCAACCCCGGCCCGCCGUUGAAACUGGCAGUCUCGAGUAGGAGAGAAGUAUGCGGAAUGCGCGGUGUAGGGGUGAAAUGCAUAGAUAUCGCGCAGAACUCAGAUUGCGAAGGCAGCAUGCCGGCUCCACACUGACGCUGAGGCACGAAAGCGUGGGUAUCGAACAGGAUUAGAUACCCGUGUAGUC